AUUCUCUUGUCUUUGUUCUUUCUCGUUCAAUUUCAAAUGAUUAGUGAUUGUUACAACGUAGACUACAUUAAAAAAUUACACUAGAAAUAUAUAUAUAAUAAAAAUAUAUAUAAUAUAAAUAAUAUAUAUAUAUAAUAAAAAUUACAUUACAUUAAAAAAUUAUCUGUAAUUAUAGAACGAAAUUUAAUAGAUAAGUAAUUAUUUCCUUGUAAAGGAAGAUAGAAACUGAUCUAAAGAAGCUGACGCAUCUGACCUACAAGAACCUGACGCAGGCACACGAGUGUUUGAAAAUUACUACUAAGAAAACAGAAGCACGUUUCUUCGUUGCAUCGGUACAAAUACGUCUACUGCAUGCAGCAAUAAUAUGUAAAAGUUUGCAAUCAGGUAGCGAUCACACAAUGGCCCCCUAUAAUCUAGCGCUCAUUAAAAAUCCCGUCUUAAGAACACUGCGGUUAACGCAUUCGAUGAAGAAGAGAAUUACUCACUGUUCUU